rnacentral:rRNA from 1 species
AAGCAUCUUCGGAUGUGUAUAAAGUGGCGAACGGCUGAGUAACACGUGGGCAACCUGCCCUUUGCACUGGGAUAGCCUCGGGAAACCGAGGUUAAUACCGGAUACUCCAUAUUUGUCGCAUGGCGAAUAUGGGAAAGCUCCGGCGGCAAAGGAUGGGCCCGCGGCCUGUUAGCUAGUUGGUGGGGUAGUGGCCUACCAAGGCAAUGAUGGGUAGCCGGGUUGAGAGACCGACCGGCCAGAUUGGGACUGAGACACGGCCCAGACUCCUACGGGAGGCAGCAGUGGGGAAUCUUCCGCAAUGGACGAAAGUCUGACGGAGCAACGCCGCGUGAGUGAAGAAGGUCUUCGGAUUGUAAAGCUCUGUUAUACGGGACGAAAAAGACGGAUGCCAACAGUAUCCGUCCGUGACGGUACC